UACGUAGGGGGCAAGCGUUAUCCGGAUUUACUGGUCGUAAAGCGCGCGUAGGUGGUUCGUUAAGUUAGGAGUGAAAGCCCCGGGCUCAACCUGGGAAUUGCUUCUAAAACUGGCGAGCUAGAGUAUGGUAGAGGGUGGUGGAAUUUCCUGUGUAGCGGUGAAAUGCGCAGAUAUCAGGAGGAACACCAAUGGCGAAGGCAGGUCUCUGGGCAGUUACUGACGCUGAGGAGCGAAAGCAUGGGUAGCGAACAGGAUUAGAUACCCCCGUAGUCCCU
rnacentral:rRNA from 1 species